rnacentral:sRNA from 1 species
CUCAUGAGGGACCUAGACCAAAGAACAGAGGGUGGACAAACACAUUCGGCGGCUGGACACAGACCUGGCCCGUUUUGAGGCUGAUCUCAAGGAGAAACAGAUUGAGUCAAGUGACUAUGACAGCUCUUCCAGCAAAGGCAAAAAGAGCCGGACUCAAAAGGAGAAGAAAGCUGCUCGUGCUCGUUCCAAAGGGAAAAACUCGGAUGAAGAAGCCCCCAAGACUGCCCAGAAGAAGUUAAAGCUCGUGCGCGCGUCUCCUAUGGAGAGAUGAUUGGCUGUGACAACCCUGAUUGUUCCAUUGAGUGGUUCCAUUUUGCCUGUGUGGGGCUGACAACCAAGCCUCGGGGGAAAUGGUUUUGCCCACGCUGCUCCCAAGAACGGAAGAAGAAAUAGAUAAGGGCCUUGGAUUCCAACACAGUUUCUUCCACAUCCCCUGACUUGGGCUAGUGGGCAGAGGAAUGCCUGUGCUGGGGCCAGGGGUUCAGGGAGGAGUGGAUGGCACAGUGCUGUCAUCCCUUCUCCUCCCCUCUCCCCACUCCCGGUGCUGAGGCUGCAUCAGACCCUGGUAGGGAGGGGUGCCGCAGCCACUAACGGUAUGUGCUCUCCUUCAGCCCUCUCCCUUCGGAGGGACGUGGUCUUGCCCACUGUCCUUUUGCCUCCAUGCUGAGGUCGGUGCUGUAUUUCAGAGGGAGGGUCCUUUUCAUUCUCCUUGCUUUGUAUUUAAGGACUGGGGCAUAGCAUGGGGGCAGUCCCCCAGACCUCUUCAUUCCCCCUCCUGUGGUGAGGGCUAGGUGUGA